UUUAAAGUUAAAUAGCUGGCAGCUGCACAAGCAGCCAAGACAGGCGUUAAAGCAGGCGUGAAGAGAGUCGUCGUGAAAGACCCAGAGUAUGCUGGGACAGUAACAUUAGCAGGCAGGUGAUUAUGAAGCAGACGAGGAGGGGGAAGAGUCGAGGCCACAGGAGUAACGUUACGCUGGUCUACGCGGAGUUUAAUAGGAUUGCUGGUAAGAACUUGAAAAGGGAAUUUUACGAGACCCUUGACCAACAUAGUACAUGCCUCUUGGACAUUUUCAGACCCAGAAAGGGAGUUGCUGGUCAGCUCUUGAUGAACCUUCUGAAGCAACAAAGCUAUCAGAGCCAACUGAAACUGAACUUUGGUGCUUCAAGGACUACCCCUUUGGUUUGGAGAUGACUCUCCUGCUUUCUUUAAGACGUGUUUGAAGUCCGAUGAUCACCGCUCAAUUCUUUAUGUGCCAGUGGGGAUUGUGAUAGUUGAAGAUGGGACAAGAUGGGUCUCCCUCUUCGAUUGGAAUCGUAAUCGAGGGAAAAUUAGUGAUGAACAAUCUACAUGACCUUCCUGAAGCAAUGUGCCUUCUGUUCGGACUAAUAUAUGCAUUGCACCUGAGUUACCCAAAGUCGCUGGGUAACACGUUUGACUUCAUUCAGCGGAUUCUACUUUCCUUGGGGCAGAAAGACCUGCAGCCUAAAACACAAUCGUUAGCAAACCAGCUGUUUGGCUAAAAUGGAGAAAUUGCUUGGCGCACUUUUAAUAGCAAUAUAUUUAUAUUUAAAAUGGUCUUUUGAAAAUGAGACUUAAAAAUA